rnacentral:lncRNA from 10 species
AACCAGCCUUGCUCACGAAGCGUCAGCCGUAUCCUUUCUGUGUGCAGUGGGGUGUGGGUUGUGUGGAGCCGCGGUGUCUGUGGAAUUCACAGGCUGGGGCCGGAAUCCAUGGCCCCCGUCGCCGCUGCCACCCCCCAGGUGCUGGGGUGACCUGAUCCAGGGUUGGGGUCUAAGCUGCUGGGGGGUUGGAGUCUUGGGCUCUGGCCCACGUCCGCCUCUGAUUGGUUCUACCACCUGAGCCGGUCACUGACCCUCCAUGGGCCUCAGCUUACCCUAUGGUAAAGUGAGAACUAGGGGGUCAGACUCCUUGAUCACCAAGAUCUCUGACCACAGCCAAGGCUAAGGGAAGCGCAGGAAAACGUGGGGCUCGUCCAAAUUCCCAGCCUCUCUCUGCCCCCUGGUGGACGCCGGCAGCCUAGCACCCGGGGGGAGAUGACCCCGACACUGUGUGACCUCUGCCAAGGCACCCAUCCCUCUGAGCCCCAGUUCCCACCGGUUACAUAGGAAUGAUUAUAAUACCCACCUCUUUGGGCAAUUGUGAGGAGGCAAGGAGAUAAUACAUGCAAAGUGCUUGGAUGGGAUGGGUACUAGCCACUCAACAGAAGGCAGAUCCUAGAAUGGGGAUGGCAAGUCCUGUCAUCAGUGAAGAAUGUAAUGACUGCAAGCUUAGAUGACAUGUCUGUUACUGGAAACCAGAGUUGUUUACUUAAGCUGUAAAUGAACUCAUAGUCCCUGGGAUAAUUAUCUCACCUCUGGAUAAAUAAACUCAACAGCCUUAUGUAUUUUAUUAAUUUUUCUUAAAAAAAAGCUUAAAAUAUUUUUCCUUUGAUUUGUUCUCUUUCUUUGGUUUCUGACUUUAUUAUGUCCUUUCUUUCUGCUUAGGCAUUUGUUUUAUUGCUCUUUUUUCACCAACUCAAACUGAAUGGUCACCUUAACAGUUUUAUUGAGGUAUAAUUUACACACCAUAAAAUUCACCUGCUUUAAGGAUACUAUUCAAUGAUUUUUAGUACAGUUACAAAGUUAUGCAACCAUCAUCAAAACCCAAUUUUAGAAUAUUUCAAUCACCCAAAAAA